GAUGAACGCUGGCGGCGUGCUUAACACAUGCAAGUCGAACGGAAAGGCCCAAGGUUGCUUGUGUGCUCGAGUGGCGAACGGGUGAGUAACACAUGGGUGAUCUGCCCUGCACUUCGGGAUAAGCCUGGGGAACUGGGACUAAUACCGGAUAGGACCACACUUUGGAUGGUGUGGUGGGAAGUUUUUCGGUGUGGGAUGCGCUCGCGGCCUAUCCGCUUGGUGGUGGGGGUAUGGCCUAACGAGGCGGCGACGGGUAGCCGGCCCGUGAGGGUGUACGGGCACACUGGGCCACAGAGACAGGCCAGAGUCCGACAGGAGGCGGAAGUGGGGAAAAUUGGACAAUGGGAGCAAGCGUGAGGCAGCGAGGCGGCGGGGGGGAGAACGGCCUUUGGGUGGUAAACACCUUUCGCAAGGGACGAGGCGUGUUUGUGACGGUACCUGGAGAAGAAGCACCGGCUAACUACGUG
rnacentral:rRNA from 1 species